AGUGAACGCUGGCGGUAGGCCUAACACAUGCAAGUCGAACGGCAGCACGGUAGGUUCUUGCUGGUACGGAGUGCCGGACGGGGGCGGGUUACAUAUACACCGGUCUCUACUUUUUCGUUGGGGCUAACGAAGGGGGACUUACGCUGCUAACGCAUAACGCCUGCGGGUGAAGGCAGGUGAUCUUCGGCCCUUGCGCGAUUGAAUGAGCCGAUGUCGGAUUAGCUAGUUGGCGGGGUAAAGGCCCACCAAGGCGACGAUCCGUAGCUGGUCUGAGAGGACGACCAGCCACACUGGAACUGAGACACGGUCCAGACUCCUACGGGAGGCAGCAGUGGGGAAUUUUGGACAAUGGGCGCAAGCCUGAUCCAGCAAUACCGCGUGGGUGAAGAAGGCCUUCGGGUUGUAAAGCCCUUUUGUCGGGAAAGAAAAGCAUCAGGUUAAUACCGUGCUGUGCUGACGGUACCGAAAGAAUAAGCACCGGCUAACUUCGUG
rnacentral:rRNA from 1 species